rnacentral:rRNA from 1 species
GAUGAACGCUAGCUACAGGCUUAACACAUGCAAGUCGAGGGGAAACGAUAUUGGAAGCUUGCUUCCGAUAGGCGUCGACCGGCGCACGGGUGAGUAACGCGUAUCCAACCUGCCCAUCACUUGGGGAUAACCUUGCGAAAGUAAGACUAAUACCCAAUGACGUCUCUAGAAGACAUCUGAAGGAGAUUAAAGAUUUAUCGGUGAUGGAUGGGGAUGCGUCUGAUUAGCUUGUUGGCGGGGUAACGGCCCACCAAGGCGACGAUCAGUAGGGGUUCUGAGAGGAAGGUCCCCCACAUUGGAACUGAGACACGGUCCAAACUCCUACGGGAGGCAGCAGUGAGGAAUAUUGGUCAAUGGACGAGAGUCUGAAUCAGCCAAGUAGCGUGCAGGAUGACGGCCCUAUGGGUUGUAAACUGCUUUUAUAAGGGAAUAAAGUGAGAGUCGUGACUCUUUUUGCAUGUACCUUAUGAAUAAGGACCGGCUAAUUCCGUGCCAGCAGCCGCGGUAA